rfam:Schistosoma mattheei strain Denwood, Zambia genome assembly, scaffold: SMTD_scaffold0001437
GCACUGCUGAGUCCCACAAUAGGACGAAACGGCCGUCCAGUGC